GAGUUUGAUCGUGGCUCAGGACGAACGCCGGCGGCGUGCCUAAUACAUGCAAGUCGAGCGGAUCUUCAUUAGCUUGCUUUUGAAGAUCGGCGGCGGACGGGUGAGUAACACGUGGGCAACCUGCCUGUAAGACUGGGGAUAACUUCGGGAAGCCGGAGCUAAUACCGGAUAAUCCUUUUCCUCUCAUGAGGAAAAGCUGAAAGACGGUUUCGGCUGUCACUUACAGAUGGGCCCGCGGCGCAUUAGCUAGUUGGUGAGGUAACGGCUCACCAAGGCGACGAUGCGUAGCCGACCUGAGAGGGUGAUCGGCCACACUGGGACUGAGACACGGCCCAGACUCCUACGGGAGGCAGCAGUAGGGAAUCUUCCGCAAUGGACGAAAGUCUGACGGAGCAACGCCGCGUGAGCGAUGAAGGCCU
rnacentral:rRNA from 1 species